GAUCUUGCACGGUGCACCAUCGUGUCCGAGCUCUCCAACAAGGAUUUUGACUCCUAUGUCCUCUCUGAGUCGAGCCUGUUUAUCUAUCCUCUGAAGAUUGUCAUCAAAACAUGUGGGACUACCAAGCUCCUGCUCACCAUUCCAAGGAUUAUUGAGCUUGCUGAAGAGCUGUCUAUGCCGCUUGCUGCUGUGAAGUACUCCCGUGGGAUGUUCAUCUUCCCCGGUGCACAGCCAGCCCCCCACAGGAGCUUCUCUGAGGAGGUUGCUGCCCUUAACCGCUACUUUGGUGGCCUGAAGUCUGGUGGUAAUGCUUAUGUGAUUGGAGAUCCUGCAAGACCUGGACAGAAGUGGCACAUCUACUAUGCCACCGAGUACCCAGAGCAACCCAUGGUUAACCUUGAGAUGUGCAUGACUGGUCUGGACAAGAAGAAAGCUUCAGUCUUUUUCAAGACUUCUGCUGAUGGCCACACAACGUGUGCCAAAGAAAUGACCAAGCUCUCUGGUAUCUCUGAAAUUAUUCCUGAGAUGGAGAUCUGUGAUUUUGACUUUGAACCCUGCGGCUACUCCAUGAACGCUAUCCAUGGCUCUGCUUUCUCCACCAUUCAUGUGACGCCUGAGGAUGGUUUCAGCUAUGCCAGCUAUGAAGUUAUGGGCUUCGACGCCACUGCACUUGCCUACGGCGACCUCGUGAAGAGGGUCCUCAGGUGCUUUGGCCCUUCGGAGUUCUCUGUUGCUGUGACUAUCUUUGGUGGGCGUGGCCAAGCCGCGACAUGGGGCAUGAAGCUUGAUGCUGAGGUUUACGACUGCAACAACAUGGUAGAGCAGGAGCUGCCCGGUGGUGUGCUUAUCUACCAGAGCUUUUCUGUUACUGAAGAUG
rnacentral:lncRNA from 1 species